CCUUCAAUACCAUUUGCAACUUGAGAAUUUCUAUAAAGAAGAUGUGAUUGGUGAAAUGAAAAUAUGAAAUUCAAAAAAACAAAAGAUGUAAUUGUUUCAUUAUUAUUUCUUCUUCUAUGAGUUGGUUCAGGAAGCUGAUCAGUCUUUAGCCACGACGAGAAUUACGUACACUACAUUUUCUACGAUAACGCAAGCAAUUAGAUACCUAUCACAUAUAUGAAAUAAUUGAGGUGUACGUAAGUUAGUAUGGAUACUGUACGUGCAGUCAUCACUAUAAUUAAAACAAAAGGCAUUCGAAUAAAUCAUACAACAAGUGAUGAUGGAGACAAAAAUUUUAUCAACGAGUUAGCUAGGCUUAUCCUCUA